GCCUCUCUCACGCCGAGCCGCAGAUGGAGCCGCCGCCGCCCUUCCCGUCCGCGGAGGUUCGGCUCGCGGAGCAAGCGGAGGACCAUGCCGCUCAGAGUUUUACAAGCUGUGUGCAUGGAAGCAGGUCGGCAGCGCUACAGCUUGCUGGGAACGGAUGAGAUGUAAAAUCACAAACAGCUGAAGAAACAAAUAUCACAAGUGGAGUUCAGUCAAAGACUUCGAUUCCAGCCGUUUGAAUCAGCCAUGAUCGAGAUCCAGUUCAAGUAUCUCUGUUAAUCUACAAGGAGUGAUGUGUUUUAUCCCUUAAUAAACCCCCCGAAACAUGCAAGACA